UAAACUAGGAUUAGAUACCCUAUUAUUGGAAAUGUAAAUUUAUUAUUCUUGAUUAGUAGUAGUUAUGUGCUUGAAAUUUAAAGGAUUUGGCGGUAUUUUAGUCCUUUCAGAGGAACCUGUCCUAUAAUUGAUAUUCCACGAUUAAUUAUACUUAUUUUGAUAGUUUGUAUAUCGUCGUAGUUUGAAUGUUUUAUAAGAAUUUGUAAUGUUCAUAAUUUAUUAUUAUAAAGAAAAUCAGAUCAAGGUGCAGUAGAUGGAUAAGUAGAGAUGGGUUACAAUAAAUUUAUUUAAAUGGUUAAAAUAAUUAACAUUAUUUUAUAAAGUGGAUUUGAUUGUAAUAUUAUUUAGUUAAAUUAUAUGAUUAUGGCUCUAGGAUAUGUACAUAUCGCCCGUCGCUCCCUCUUUAAAGGGGGAUAAGUCGUAACAAAGUAGGCGUACUGGAAAGUGUGCCUAGAUAGCAGAUUAGAGCUUGUUUUUAAGCAUUUUAUUUACAUUAAGGGGUUAGUUGUGUGAGUCAACUUAAUUUGAGAGCGAUUUAUUUAUUAAUUUAAAUGAAAAUAAAAUAUUAUUUGUAUUAAGUAGUUAUUUUGAAAAAUAUUAUAGGAGUUAUAGUUUAUUAGUAUAGAUUUAGAAGAUUGAAAUAUUUUAAAGUUUAUUUAGAUUAAAAAAGAGUUAAAAUUUUGUACCUUGUGUAUCAGGGUUGAUUAAAAAUUGCUUAGUUAUUUAAAGUUCUCGAAUUUCUAAGAGCUAAUAGUUUAUAAAUUUAAUUGUGGCAUAAUUUUUUAUAAUAUACUAUUAGAAAUGAAACGUUAGUCGUUUAGAAAUAUAUCUAGUUUUUUAAGAAAUAAAUUUAAUUUGAUUAUUUAGAUAUAUUAUUCUAAUUUAUUAAAAUAAUGUUUUAAAUAUUAAAAAUUUUAAGGGAUAAGCUUUGAAAUUAAUAAUUAAAAGUUAUUUUUAUAUUAAAAAAAUAGUAGGAUUAGAAAUGUUUAUUUUUUAAUUUUUUAUAAUUAAUUUUCUUUUUUUUAAUAUAAUUUAUAUUAGCUUUAGUUUUUUUUAUUAAAAUUACUUAUUUAAUAAUAAAAUAUGUGGGAUAAUGAUUAAAUUAGUAUAAUAUAUUUGUAUUUAUUUAUUUUAUAGUAAAGGUUAAGUUGAGGAAUUCGGCAAAUUAAUUUUUCGCCUGUUUAUUAAAAACAUGUCUUUUUGAUAAUAAUUUAAAGUCUGACCUGCCCCCUGAAUUUUAAAUGGCCGCGGUAUUUUGACCGUGCAAAGGUAGCAUAAUAAUUAGUUUUUUAAUUGAAAGCUGGAAUGAAUGGUUGGACGAGAAAAUUACUGUCUUAAUUUAAUUUAAUUAGAAUUUUAUUUUUAAGUUAAAAAGCUUAAUUAUUUUUAAAAGACGAGAAGACCCUAUAGAGUUUUAUAGUUGUAUUUAUUAUAAGUUUAUGGUUGCUUUAUUUUUUAAUAUUAUAAAACUAUUUUGUUGGGGUGACAGAAAAAUUGAAGAAACUUUUUUUUAAAAUAAAAUCAUUUAUAUAUGUUUAAUUGAUCCAUUUUUUAUGAUUAUAAGAUUAAAUUACCUUAGGGAUAACAGCGUUAUUAUUUUUGAGAGUUCUUAUCGAAAAAAUAGUUUGCGACCUCGAUGUUGGAUUAAAAUUAACUUUUGGUGUAGAAGCUAAAUAGUUAGGUCUGUUCGACCUUUAAAAUUUUACAUGAUCUGAGUUCAAACCGGAGA
rnacentral:rRNA from 1 species